ACUACAGACCUAUUUGUCUAAACCCCAUCCUUACCCCCUACUUCCCUGACACCUUAAAUAUUCCCCAAGUACCCCAACACACCCCUCUCUUCCCACACACUUGGUCUCGCCCGUCUGACGUCACCCCCACACCGCACAAAUGUUCUUCCGGACUUCACGUCGGGUCCUCCCGCAGCCCCCGGCACCCGGAAGCCAGCGCAACCGUAACGUGGCGUCAUGAAAGUGUUUGAAUGUUCUGUGUGUGUUAAAUAAAAGGGUACUUGUAAA